UACGUAGGGUGCAAGCGUUAAUCGGAAUUACUGGGCGUAAAGCGUGCGCAGGCGGUCUUGCAAGACAGGUGUGAAAUCCCCGGGCUUAACCUGGGAACUGCACUUGUGACUGCAAGGCUGGAGUGCGGCAGGAGGGGAUGGAAUUCCGCGGUGUAGCAGUGAAAUGCGUAGAUAUGCGGAGGAACACCGAUGGCGAAGGCAACUCCCCUGGGCCUGCA
rnacentral:rRNA from 1 species